AGACCCGAAACCCGGUGAUCUAGCCAUGGGCAGGUUGAAGGUUGGGUAACACUAACUGGAGGACCGAACCGACUAAUGUUGAAAAAUUAGCGGAUGACCUGUGGCUGGGGGUGAAAGGCCAAUCAAACCGGGAGAUAGCUGGUUCUCCCCGAAAGCUAUUUAGGUAGCGCCUCGUGAACUCAUCUCCGGGGGUAGAGCACUGUUUCGGCUAGGGGGCCAUCCCGGCUUACCAACCCGAUGCAAACUGCGAAUACCGGAGAAUGUUAUCACGGGAGACACACGGCGGGUGCUAACGUCCGUCGUGAAGAGGGAAACAACCCAGACCGCCAGCUAAGGUCCCAAAGUCAUGGUUAAGUGGGAAACGAUGUGGGAAGGCCCAGACAGCCAGGAUGUUGGCUUAGAAGCAGCCAUCAUUUAAAGAAAGCGUAAUAGCUCACUGGUCGAGUCGGCCUGCGCGGAAGAUGUAACGGGGCUAAACCAUGCACCGAAGCUGCGGCAGCGACACUUUAGUGUUGUUGGGUAGGGGAGCGUUCUGUAAGCCGUUGAAGGUGUGUCGUGAGGCAUGCUGGAGGUAUCAGAAGUGCGAAUGCUGACAUAAGUAACGAUAAAGCGGGUGAAAAGCCCGCUCGCCGGAAGACCAAGGGUUCCUGUCCAACGUUAAUCGGGGCAGGGUGAGUCGACCCCUAAGGCGAGGCCGAAAGGCGUAGUCGAUGGGAAACGGGUUAAUAUUCCCGUACUUGGUGUUACUGCGAAGGGGGGACGGAGAAGGCUAUGUUGGCCGGGCGACGGUUGUCCCGGUUUAAGCGUGUAGGCUGGUUUUCCAGGCAAAUCCGGAAAAUCAAGGCUGAGGCGUGAUGACGAGGCACCACGGUGCUGAAGCAACAAAUGCCCUGCUUCCAGGAAAAGCCUCUAAGCAUCAGGUAACAUCAAAUCGUACCCCAAACCGACACAGGUGGUCAGGUAGAGAAUACCAAGGCGCUUGAGAGAACUCGGGUGAAGGAACUAGGCAAAAUGGUGCCGUAACUUCGGGAGAAGGCACGCUGACACGUAGGUGAAGUGAUUUACUCAUGGAGCUGAAGUCAGUCGAAGAUACCAGCUGGCUGCAACUGUUUAUUAAAAACACAGCACUGUGCAAACACGAAAGUGGACGUAUACGGUGUGACGCCUGCCCGGUGCCGGAAGGUUAAUUGAUGGGGUCAGCGCAAGCGAAGCUCCUGAUCGAAGCCCCGGUAAACGGCGGCCGUAACUAUAACGGUCCUAAGGUAGCGAAAUUCCUUGUCGGGUAAGUUCCGACCUGCACGAAUGGCGUAAUGAUGGCCAGGCUGUCUCCACCCGAGACUCAGUGAAAUUGAACUCGCUGUGAAGAUGCAGUGUACCCGCGGCAAGACGGAAAGACCCCGUGAACCUUUACUAUAGCUUGACACUGAACAUUGAGCCUUGAUGUGUAGGAUAGGUGGGAGGCUUUGAAGCGUGGACGCCAGUCUGCGUGGAGCCGACCUUGAAAUACCACCCUUUAAUGUUUGAUGUUCUAACGUGGACCCGUAAUCCGGGUUGCGGACAGUGUCUGGUGGGUAGUUUGACUGGGGCGGUCUCCUCCUAAAGAGUAACGGAGGAGCACGAAGGUUGGCUAAUCCUGGUCGGACAUCAGGAGGUUAGUGCAAUGGCAUAAGCCAGCUUGACUGCGAGCGUGACGGCGCGAGCAGGUGCGAAAGCAGGUCAUAGUGAUCCGGUGGUUCUGAAUGGAAGGGCCAUCGCUCAACGGAUAAAAGGUACUCCGGGGAUAACAGGCUGAUACCGCCCAAGAGUUCAUAUCGACGGCGGUGUUUGGCACCUCGAUGUCGGCUCAUCACAUCCUGGGGCUGAAGUAGGUCCCAAGGGUAUGGCUGUUCGCCAUUUAAAGUGGUACGCGAGCUGGGUUUAGAACGUCGUGAGACAGUUCGGUCC
rnacentral:rRNA from 2 species